GAUGAACGCUGGCGGCGUGCCUAAUACAUGCAAGUCGAGCGAACAGACGAGGAGCUUGCUCCUUUGACGUUAGCGGAGGACGGGUGAGUAACACGUGGGUAACCUACCUAUAAGACUGGGAUAACCUCGGGAAACCGGAGCUAAUACCGGAUAAUAUUUCGAACCGCAUGGUUCGAUAGUGAAAGAUGGCUCUGCUGUCACUUAUAGAUGGACCUGCGCCGUAUUAGCUAGUUGGUAAGGUAACGGCUUACCAAGGGAACGAUACGUAGCCGACCUGAGAGGGUGAUCGGCCACACUGGAACUGAGACACGGUCCAGACUCCUACGGGAGGCAGCAGUAGGGAAUCUUCCGCAAUGGGCGAAAGCCUGACGGAGCAACGCCGCGUGAGUGAUGAAGGUCUUCGGAUCGUAAAACUCUGUUAUUAGGGAAGAACAAACGUGUAAGUAAAUGUGGACGUCUUGACGGUACCUAAUCAGAAAGCAACGGCUAACUACGUG
rnacentral:rRNA from 1 species